GACGAACGCUGGCGGCGUGCCUAAUACAUGCAAGUCGAGCGAAUCUUUUGGGAGCUUGCUCCCGAAAGAUUAGCGGCGGACGGGUGAGUAACACGUGGGCAACCUGCCUAUAAGACUGGGAUAACUUCGGGAAACCGGAGCUAAUACCGGAUACGUUCUUUUCUCGCAUGAGAGAAGAUGGAAAGACGGUCUCGGCUGUCACUUAUAGAUGGGCCCGCGGCGCAUUAGCUAGUUGGUGGGGUAAUGGCACACCAAGGCGACGAUGCGUAGCCGACCUGAGAGGGGGAUCGGCCACACUGGGACUGAGACACGGCCCAGACUCCUACGGGAGGCAGCAGUAGGGAAUCUUCCGCAAUGGACGAAAGUCUGACGGAGCAACGCCGCGUGAACGAAGAAGGCCUUCGGGUCGUAAAGUUCUGUUGUUAGGGAAGAACAAGUACCAGAGUAACUGCUGGUACCUUGACGGUACCUAACCAGAAAGCCACGGCUAACUACGUGCCAGCCGCCGCCGUAAGAC
rnacentral:rRNA from 1 species